GAUGAACGCUGGCGGCGUGCCUAAUACAUGCAAGUCGAGCGAACAGACGAGGAGCUUGCUCCUCUGACGUUAGCGGCGGACGGGUGAGUAACACGUGGAUAACCUACCUAUAAGACUGGGAUAACUUCGGGAAACCGGAGCUAAUACCGGAUAAUAUAUUGAACCGCAUGGUUCAAUAGUGAAAGACGGUUUUGCUGUCACUUAUAGAUGGAUCCGCGCCGCAUUAGCUAGUUGGUAAGGUAACGGCUUACCAAGGCGACGAUGCGUAGCCGACCUGAGAGGGUGAUCGGCCACACCGGAACUGAGACACGGUCCAGACCCCCAGGGGAGGCAGCAGGAGGGAAUCUUCCGCAAGGGGCGAAAGCCUGACGGAGCAACGCCGCGGGAGUGAUGAAGGGUUUGGGAUCGUAAAACUUUGUUAUUGGGGAAGAAAAAAUGUGUAAGUAACUAUGCACGUUUUGACGGUACCAAAUAAAAAAGCCACGGCUAACUACGU
rnacentral:rRNA from 1 species